AUUGAACGCUGGCGGCAUGCCUUACACAUGCAAGUCGAACGGCAGCACGGGAGCAAUCCUGGUGGCGAGUGGCGAACGGGUGAGUAAUAUAUCGGAACGUGCCCAGUCGUGGGGGAUAACGUAGCGAAAGCUACGCUAAUACCGCAUACGAUCUAUGGAUGAAAGCGGGGGAUCGCAAGACCUCGCGCGAUUGGAGCGGCCGAUAUCAGAUUAGGGAGUUGGUGAGGUAAAGGCUCACCAAGCCGACGAUCUGUAGCUGGUCUGAGAGGACGACCAGCCACACUGGGACUGAGACGCGGCCCAGACUCCUACGGGAGGCAGCAGUGGGGAAUUUUGGACAAUGGGCGCAAGCCUGAUCCAGCAAUGCCGCGUGCAGGAUGAAGGCCUUCGGGUUGUAAACUGCUUUUGUACGGAACGAAACGGCGAGCUCUAAUACAGUUUGCUAAUGACGGUACCGUAAGAAUAAGCACCGGCUAACUACGUGCCAGCCGCCGCAGUAA
rnacentral:rRNA from 1 species